rnacentral:tRNA from 1 species
GGAGGGUUGCCGGAGCGGCCGAACGGACCGGUUUUGAAAACCGGCGUCCCCGCGAGGGGACCGGGGGUUCGAAUCCCUCACCCUCCGCCA